rnacentral:rRNA from 1 species
UACGGAGGGUGCAAGCGUUAAUCGGAAUUACUGGGCGUAAAGCGAGCGUAGUCGGUUAUUUAAGUCGGGUGUGAAAUCCCCGGGCUCAACCUGGGAAUUGCAUUCGAUACUGGAUAGCUAGAGUUCGGCAGAGGGAAGCGGAAUUUCCGGUGUAGCGGUGAAAUGCGUAGAUAUCGGAAGGAACAUCAGUGGCGAAAGCGGCUUCCUGGACCAGAACUGACGAUCAGGCUCGAAAGCGUGGGGAGCAAACAGG